CACUAAAAUUCUGACACAUGGAAAUUAUUUUAUUAUUUAAAAAAAAAUCAAAUGCAAAAACAGAAUCGUUUAUCAACUGAUAUUUAUUCAUUUAUUUUUUUUACAAAAUAAAAUCCCUAAUAUAUCUCACACUACAUCCAUGAUCUUUCUUUGAAACUCCCUCACGUUGCCAUUUAUUUAAAUUCAACUCUUCCUCCUUUAAAAAUUGUAAUUACCUUUUUUUGCAGCGGUUCCAUUGAUUCUCUCUGCAAUUUCAACUGCAAACCUUAUAGAUUUAUAAUUUCUAAUUAUCGUAUUCACACAGUCAAUGCUACAAUUUUGGAGGAAGAUCGGAAUAGUUUCUCACGAGAAGCCAAAAGGUAGCACAACAAUAGUAUCCAAAAUAUAUUUUUUUAACUAAAUGAACAAAAGAAUUACAGUAUUUGCUAUAGAUUGAUAGGCGGAACGUACUGCAAAAUGGGAGGAUGAAGAUUAAAAUUCAGGUUUGUGAAACUAAAAACAGCCAGACUCUUCAUUCUCUUUUCUUUUUUCUUUUUUCUGAAACUCUUCAUUCUCAAAUAAAUUUAUUUUUCAUGAACUUUUUACUCUUUUAAAUUUUUUUUUCCUUUUUUAGAUAUUUGCAAAAGCUAUAUACUCCACGGUGAACAAUGUAAAGGGAUAGUUCAAAGGAGAGUAACAGAGUCUCACCUAAGCACACGUCAAAAGACCUUACGAGAAUCACCACAAAAGAAAAGAAAAAAAAUGUGGAGACAAUUAAAAAGACAGCAGAGAUGGGAUCUAUGAAACUCGGCUGGUAGAGAAAAAAGAGAAAAAAAAACUAUGGCUGUUCUAGAUCAAACCUCACCCGACCAGGUUGGUUUUUCUUAUUCUUUAUUUUGUGUGUUUAUAAUCUCAAAGAAGUGUGGUGAUACAAUUUUGUUUUUACAUUUUUCAUUUGCAACUUCUGUUAGAAACUAAGACUAUGCAAAUUUUAGUAGUAUAAGAAAAUAAAAACGUAAAAAGUACUAUGAAAACAAAAAUAAAUAUAAAAGAGAAACAAAAGGAAAAAGAGUGCACAAUAUAUUAACGUCAAUUAUUUACAAAAUAUAUGCUUUUCCUCAAUUUGAUUUUUCAUAUGUAAUGAUUUUUUGGUUUUGGUAAAGAUUAUUAGACAACACCAUUUUAAUUUUCUUUUUAAGUUUACCAACAACUAUAACUCUAUUAGUAACAUUUAUUUCCACUGUAAAUUGUAUAACCCUCCAAAUAAAUUUUUCAUAGUCAAUUAUAAUAACAAAUGCCCGUGCAUAGCACGGGAGAAAACACUAGUGUAUUAUAACUUAUAAGUAAAAAGAUAUACAAGUGAUAUGAAUUCAUGACAUGUGCCGUGUGCGUCGAUAAAAAGAGAUUUAAACUAUUUAACUACUACAAUAACUAAGAUAAUAGCACUACAAACUAAAUUUUAUAUAUUUGAUAUGGAUCAAUUGACACCCUCAUGACUCCGCCACUGUUUUAGGGGAACCCAACUAGUAAUCGAAUUAACAUCUCGUGUGUUAGUUUUUGUUUUAAAAGGAACAAAUAAUAAAAAUCUACCAAGUCAUUUUAUGUUUUUAAAUUAAAAAGUUAAAAAUAAAUAAAAAUAAUAAUAGCUGACAAAAAAAAUGAUUUUUUUUUUAAACAUUGUUAACGCCGUGAGCAAAACUCUAAACCAUAAACCCUAAACACUAAACCCUAAACUUUUGGGUAAACCUUAAGUCUUUUGGUAAAUCCUAAACUCGUGGGUAAAUCCUAAACCCUCAAUAUAAACACUAAACCCUAAACGCCGUCAGCAAAUCAUUAGGUUUCGAAUUUACCCAAGGGUUUAGAAUUUACCCAAGGGUUUAGAAUUUACCCAAAGGUUUAGAGUUUACCCAAGGGUUUAAAGUUUUGUGUUUAUGAUUUAGGGUCUAGGAUUUAUCCAAUGGUUUAAAUUUUACACAAAGUUUUAGUGUUUAGUGUUUAUGAUUUAGGGUUUAGUAUUUUGCUGACAGCGUUAAUAAUGUUAAAAAUAAUUUAUUUUUUUGCAGCUAUUACUAUUUUUUAUUUAUUUUUAAAACAUAAUAUGAUUUGAUAAUUUAUUAUUAUUGAUUUUUUUUCCCAAAAAAAAUUGAAAAUGAAGUGGCAAACUAUUAUUGGUUGGUGAAUCUACCUAAAAAAACUCUUGGGUUCACCUCCCAUGGUGAACCUACCAACAAAAAGUAUUUUGUUAUUUCGUAUUCUAUAUAUUAAAAAAAACAAAAUAAAAUUUUUUUAUCAAGUUAUGUUUUAAGAAUAAAAA